rnacentral:rRNA from 1 species
AACGAACGCUGGCGGCAUGCCUAACACAUGCAAGUCGAACGACAGCUUCGGCCUUAGUGGCGCAUGGGUGCGUCACGUGUGGGACUCUGCCCUUUGGCUCGGAAUAAUAGCUGGAAACGGCUGCUAAUACCGGAUGAUGACGAAAGAUCAAAGAUUCAUCGCCAGAGGAUGAGCCCGCGUUGAUUUAGGUUGUUGGUGGGGUAAAGGCCUAUCACGCCGACGCUCCAUAGCUGGUCUGAGAGGAUGAGCAGCCACACUGAGUCUGGGACACGGCGCAGACUCCUAGGGGAGGCAGCAGUGGCGGAUAUAGGACAAUGGGCGCAAGGCUGAACGAGCUAUGCCGCGUGAGUGAUGAAGUCCCGAGGGUUAUAAAGCACUUUUACACGGGAAGAUAAUGACGGUACCGGAAGAAUAAGCCCCGGCUAACUCCGUG